AUACGUAGGGGGCAAGCGUUAUCCGGAAUUAUUGGGCGUAAAGAGUGCGUAGGUGGUUAUGUAAGCGUGAGGUUUAAGGCAGUGGCUUAACCACUGUUCGCCUUGCGAACUACAUAACUUGAGUGCAGGAGGGGAAAGCGGAAUUCCUAGUGUAGCGGUGAAAUGCGUAGAUAUUAGGAGGAACACCAGCGGCGAAGGCGGCUUUCUGGACUGCAACUGACACUGAGGCACGAAAGCGUGGGGAGCAAACAGGAUUAGAUACCCUGGUAGUCCACGCCGUAAACGAUGAGCACUAGUUGUUGGGUCCGAACGGAUUCAGUGACGCAGUUAACGCAAUAAGUGCUCCGCCUGGGGAGUACGCUCGCAAGAGUAAAACUCAAAUGAAUUGACGGGG
rnacentral:rRNA from 1 species